rnacentral:rRNA from 1 species
UACGUAGGGUGCAAGCGUUGUCCGGAAUUACUGGGCGUAAAGCGUGCGUAGACGGUUAUGUAAGUCGGGUGUGAAAGCCCCGGGCUCAACCUGGGAAUUGCAUUCGAGACUGUGUAGCUAGGGUACGGAAGAGGGAAGCGGAAUUUCAGGUGUAGCGGUGAAAUGCGUAGAUAUCUGAAGGAACACCAGUGGCGAAAGCGGCUUCCUGGUCCAGUACCGACGUUCAGGCACGAAAGCGUGGGGAGCAAACAGG